rnacentral:antisense_RNA from 1 species
CUUGAGCGAUCCGAGCCAGAGCGGGCGGUCGGCCGGCCUCUCCUGCCCGUAGGCGGUCAGCAGCGCCUGCGCUUC